CCCCUAGAUGUUCUGGGCCGCACGCGCGCUACACUGAACAGUUCAACAAGUCUUAACCUUGGCCGAUAGGUCUGGGUAAUCUUUGAACGCUGUUCGUGAUUGGGAUAGACCUUUGCAAUUAUGGGUCUUCAACGAGGAAUUCCUAGUAAACGCAAGUCAUCAGCUUGCAUUGAUUACGUCCCUGCCCUUUGUACACACCGCCCGUCGCUCCUACUGAUUGGGUGAUCCGGUGAGCUGUUCGGCCAUAGCAAUGUUUCUUGAGCAGGGCAAUGAAUGUUUCGCAAACCUUGCCACUUAGAGGAAGGAGAAGUCGUAGCA
rnacentral:rRNA from 1 species